ACGAAGAGCCUCCAGUUCAUCUUCAUCCUCUCCUCCUUGCUCCAUUUUCCACUAAACCCUACGAACACAGAGAGAGAGAGAGAGAGAGAGAUGGUGCCAUGGUGGUGGUGGCGCUGCUGCAGGAUCUGAGGGGUUGCAUCGCCCACCUACUUGGCAAGGGGGAGGUGAUGCAAGAUCUGGAGUACUCCAUGCGGACCAAGGGCGACAUGACUCGAGCGGAGGAGGUCAAACUUUGGAUUUUCAGCACGGUUGCAAAAGGGGACCUCAUCGUGGUCGCCGCACUGAAGCUCUCAGCAUAGGACAUAGAUUUCCUGUGGUCAUUAUGCUUCGACCUUUGCUGCUUUGCAUGGAUCAAUAAGGUUUGGCGCAGUUGAUGGUAAAUCUCAAGGCUAUUCAACCUGGUAGUGAUCCCAUAUAUAUGCAAAAAUUUUGUGAGCAUAUUCAGGCCUGCUAGCUUGUUGCAGUGUUUCUUGGACACAGCCAUGGCCACGCGGGUGUUGUUAUAGAUUCAGGUGUUGAUUUGUUGAAAAUAAUAAUAAUAAUUGAACAUGAGAAAUGUUACUUAUAGAUUCAGGUGUUGAUUUGUUGAAAAUAAUAAUAAUAAUUGAACAUGAGAAAUGUUACUUGGAAAUGAACAUGGGUUUCAGAAUCCGACUCUGAUUCGGGUGUGAAGUUCGGCAAACUUUCUUUCACGACUCAGGUGUCAGGGUAGUAACACUAGUGUGGUGUGAACAUUAUUUCAUAAUGGAACAACUGUCAUACAGACAAAGGCCAAACAACAUGACUUGAAGGUGAUUGGGGUGUUGUAAAGGGCAAAUAGACUGUAAGCUGCGGUGCAAGAACUUUAGGCGAGAGAAAGACUAAUUAAUCAUUCUUGCUUGAUUCAUAAUGGAAAAAAGGCUAUCCCUUUUAUAUGGUUGGCUCAAGUUGACCCCUUAGAAACAAUUUUGAAAAUUAGGAAAUCUAAUAUAUGGAAUAUAUAUAUCUACAAAGAACCAACCCAAUUAACAUGGAAAUUAUUUAUCCUUAUUACUAAUUCCCAACUAAUACUUUAUUGAUGGGCACCGCAUGAAAGGUAGUUUUGUUAUUCCAACGUUCAAAUUUUGAAGGAAGCAGAUUGGCUACUCUUCUAGGAAUAGUUACAGCCAGUCAUAGGUGGUUCUUUCAUCACAGGAAAGUUCGUGUAUUAUUUAACUUCACGCUUGUGUGCUGAAGUUGUUUUGAACAAUGACAAUGAGGACCACAUGAAGAUGGAACUGGUUAACAUGUGUGGUUUGUUAAAUUUGAUUCACUUUUUAAUAUCAGGUGUUCCAACUAACUCCUUGUCUCAUUACAUAAUUCCUUCAUUACUUGCUUAAUCAACAAAAUACUGACUAAGCAUAGCGAUGAUAAACCACUGGUUGAAGCUGUAUAAGGCUCUUCUUUGCUGAGCAUUUGUUCAAUGAUUUGCAUCAAGAUCGACCAUUUUUCAGGUGGCACCCACGCCAUUAAUAUAUUGACAACGCUUUUGUGGAAAGGAUGAAGGAAAUAGAAAAUGAAGUUAAUAGCUCCGACGAUGAGGACAGAUCAAAUUCUAGACAAACAACUGUAAACAUUGGAUCAUUUGGAGACCUCAUGGAUGCCCCGCUGGCUUGCAUGCUCGGGGCUCCAGGAAGGGACAUGGAAAGCCACAAUCUCUCUAAAAACACAGGUGCUGUCCUGAAGCGAAGGGAGCUGCGAAACCGCAGGAAAAGUCACUGGCGUAAUCAUCAUCAUGGAUAUGCUGACAAGUUUGCUGCUUGUAAUGCGUACAUCAGAAGUGUGGCAGAAUACUGUAAAUGUUUGCAUUGUUUAAAAAAACACAUUUCUUGAAGAUGAUGGUUCCAAACCGAUACAAAAGGCGACAAAUGAUGGCUCCAACCUGUUAUUUUGUUUAUUGCAUGUUACAGGAUUAUUUACUAUUAGGUUAUCAAU